rnacentral:rRNA from 1 species
GUGACCCCGGUCUAACCACCGGGAUGUUCAUAACCCUUUGUUGUCCGACUCUGUUGCCUCCGGGGCGACCCUGCCUUCGGGCGGGGGCUCCGGGUGGACACUUCAAACUCUUGCGUAACUUUGCAGUCUGAGUAAACUUAAUUAAUAAAUUAAAACUUUUAACAACGGAUCUCUUGGUUCUGGCAUCGAUGAAGAACGCAGCGAAAUGCGAUAAGUAAUGUGAAUUGCAGAAUUCAGUGAAUCAUCGAAUCUUUGAACGCACAUUGCGCCCCCUGGUAUUCCGGGGGGCAUGCCUGUUCGAGCGUCAUUUCACCACUCAAGCCUCGCUUGGUAUUGGGCAACGCGGUCCGCCGCGUGCCUCAAAUCGACCGGCUGGGUCUUCUGUCCCCUAAGCGUUGUGGAAACUAUUCGCUAAAGGGUGUUCGGGAGGCUACGCCGUAAAACAACCCCAUUUCUAAGGUUGACCUCGGAUCAGGUAGGGAUACCCGCUGAACUUAAGCAUAUCAAUAAGCGGAGGAAAAGAAACCAACAGGGAUUGCUCUAGUAACGGCGAGUGAAGCAGCAAUAGCUCAAAUUUGAAAUCUGGCGUCUUCGACGUCCGAGUUGUAAUUUGUAGAGGAUGCUUCUGAGUAACCACCGACCUAAGUUCCUUGGAACAGGACGUCAUAGAGGGUGAGAAUCCCGUAUGCGGUCGGAAAGGUGCUCUAUACGUAGCUCCUUCGACGAGUCGAGUUGUUUGGGAAUGCAGCUCUAAAUGGGAGGUAAAUUUCUUCUAAAGCUAAAUAUUGGCCAGAGACCGAUAGCGCACAAGUAGAGUGAUCGAAAGAUGAAAAGCACUUUGGAAAGAGAGUUAAAAAGCACGUGAAAUUGUUAAAAGGGAAGGGAUUGCAACCAGACUUGCUCGCGGUGUUCCGCCGGUCUUCUGACCGGUCUACUCGCCGCGUUGCAGGCCAGCAUCGUCUGGUGCCGCUGGAUAAGACUUGAGGAAUGUAGCUCCCUCGGGAGUGUUAUAGCCUCUUGUGAUGCAGCGAGCGCCGGGCGAGGUCCGCG